rnacentral:rRNA from 1 species
AAUCCCCGGGCUCAACCUGGGAACUGCAUCUGAUACUGUUGAGCUAGAGUAUGUGAGAGGAAGGUAGAAUUCCAGGUGUAGCGGUGAAAUGCGUAGAGAUCUGGAGGAAUACCGAUGGCGAAGGCAGCCUUCUGGCAUAAUACUGACACUGAGGCUCGAAAGCGUGGGUAGUAAACAGGAUUAGAUACCCUGGUAGUCCACGCCGUAAACGAUGUCUACUAGUCGUUGGGUCCCUUGAGGACUUAGUGACGCAGCUAACGCAAUAAGUAGACCGCCUGGGGAGUACGGUCGCAAGGUUAAUUCUCAAAUGAAUUGACGGGGGCCCGCACAAGCGGUGGAGCAUGUGGUUUACUUCGAUGCAACGCGAAGAACCUUACCUGGUCUUGACAUAUCUAGAAUCCUGCAGAGAUCCGGGAGUGCCUUCGGGAAUUAGAAUACAGGUGCUGCAUGGCUGUCGCCAGCUCGUGUCGUGAGAUGUUGGGUUAUGUCCCGCAACGAGCGCAACCCUUGUCCUUAGUUACCAGCGGCUUAAGCCCGGAACUCUAAGGAUACUGCCAGUGACAAACUGGAGGAAGGCUGGGACGACGUCAAGUCAUCAUGGCCCUUACGACCAGGGCUACACACGUGCUACAAUGGUAGGUACAGAGGGCAGCUACAGGGCGAUGUGAUGUGAAUCUCAAAAAGCCUAUCGUAGUCCAGAUUGGAGUCUGCAACUCGACUCCAUGAAGUAGGAAUCGCUAGUAAUCGCGGAUCAGAAUGCCGCGGUGAAUACGUUCCCGGGUCUUGUACACACCGCCCGUCACACCAUGGGAGUUGAUUGCACCAGAAGUGGAUAGCUUAACCUUCGGGGGAGCGUUCACCACGGCGUCGCCGAUGACU